rnacentral:rRNA from 1 species
UUGUCCUACGGGGCGCAGCAGUGGGGAAUAUUGCACAAUGGGGGAAACCCUGAUGCAGCGACGCCGCGUGGGUGAAGAAGUAUUUCGGUAUGUAAAGCCCUAUCAGCAGGGAAGAAAAAUGACGGUACCUGACUAAGAAGCACCGGCUAAAUACGUGCCAGCAGCCGCGGUAAUACGUAUGGUGCAAGCGUUAUCCGGAUUUAUUGGGUUUAAAGGGUGCGCAGGCGGUCUGUUAAGUCAGCGGUCAAAGCCCGGGGCUCAACCCCGGCCCGCCGUUGAAACUGGCAGUCUCGAGUU